CUUAAAGGCACACUCCAGGCAUCCAGACCUCUUCUGUCCAUUGGAGUGGUCUGGGUGCCAAUUCCCAUCACCCUUAAUCCUGCAAGUGUAAUUACUGCAGUUAUUAUAAACUGCAAUAUUUACCUUGCAGGGUUAAUUCCUCUGACAGACAGCCACUAGAGGGACUUCCGUGUUCUUUAAACACGAAAAGUAUUUUAAACGACGCUGGACGUCCUCAUAAUGCUUUCCUAUGGGAAGGUCUAAUGUGCGCUCACGGCCAUUGCCAAGCAUGCGCAUUGGGUCUCCCCCACCGGCUGACGUCGGUGGGGAGGAGCGUGGGG